AAUCACCCCCCACACACACACUAAACAGUAAAACAGGCCCCGCUGCACUAGCGAUUGCUCAUUUACAAAGUGAACAUAAGAUUAGCAUAUCCAAUACUGAGUUUUGUUUCACAAGCAGUUGCAAAAACAUAAUCUCUGGUGCAAUCGUGUAACCUGUGUCAGUGGGCAUUUUCCCUCUGCAGACAGGGUCUGCCUAAUUUGUAUGGUCUGGAGAUUGGGAGCUGAAAAGCAGGCAGGCUGGCUUCUUCUUGCCUCCUUUUCUUUGCUUUUCCUCAUUGCAAACAGAGUUGGCAGGUUUCAGCUUUGUGUUCCCCAUCAUCUUGCAUGUCCUAGAGCUGCUGCAGUGGUGACUACUACUGUUGGAAUCCAUACACGGCCCUUCAAUGUAUCAUAGAAUCUAGUCUUACGGUUUCUGCCACACCAUUAUUGUGGAAUCAUUGUCUGUUGCACCAUUUUGCAACUGUUAUUGACGGGUCUGCCCUCUGUAACAGGGCCUGUCACAGAUUUCAGAUUUUGGCCCUUUAAAUGUCUGGGAACAGGGUGGCUAUUGGCCUGGCAGACCUAAUUGCCAGCCACAUUGCUUCUGAACAUCACUCUGUGCUUUUUCUCCAUAUUAGUUAUUUCCUUCCAUAUCUGUUGCAAGCUCUUCCCACUGUUGCUUCUAUGUUUGGAUCAAGCAAGAAGCUCCAUCCAUUUCAUCCUAUGCAGGGGAGGUAGCAACAGAGACACUGACUCUCACAUGCUUCCUGGUACGUCUUUGAAAUACUGUAAAUACAGAAAGCAUCACAAGACCCUCCUGACGCACAGAUGUCUGGAGUGAAGGACACUUGACUCGAACACAAGCAGCAUAAAAAUGGCCACUCAGACCCAGCAGUUUCUAGAAGGUGGAAAAGGCCAGCAAUGAAGUUUCUGGCAUAAAGACUCAAUGGCAUGCUUCCUGAAGAACAGAGGAAAAUAACAAAAAAAGGACCAGAAGAAAACAGGAAGAUGGGAUUGUCCAAUGCCUGUGUGUUGCAUUUCUAUGUAGCCAUGACGCCAGGGUGUGAACCUCCAGCUUCACUAAAUAUCCAUCUGUCUGGCCUGCCAGAGGAGAAGCUCAAUGGCCAUCGAUCUCACCUGGCUGUUUUUGUCCAGAGGAUGCUCUUAUUUCUUGGCGGAGACUAUGGAGGAUGGGAGAAGAAAGCUGAAGAAGGUACCUCUGUACAUGUGCAUGCAUGUCCACCCCAUCAGACACUCACUUCUUUUGUCCCAGCUUCUCUCAGGUGA
rnacentral:lncRNA from 1 species